AAGGAUCAUUAAUGAAUUCACUAUGGGAUUGUUGCUGGCCUCUAGGGGCAUGUGCACGCUUCACUAGUCUUUCACCCCUGUGAACUUUUGAUAGAUCUGUGAAGUCGUCUCUCAAGUCGUUAGACUUGGUUUGCUGGGAUGUAAACGUCUCGGUGUGACUACGCAGUCUAUUUACUUAUAACACCCCAAAUGUAUGUCUACGAAUGUCAUUUAAAGGGCCUUGUGCCUAUAAACCAUAAUACAACUUUCAACAACGGAUCUCUUGGCUCUCGCAUCGAUGAAGAACGCAGCGAAAUGCGAUAAGUAAUGUGAAUUGCAGAAUUCAGUGAAUCAUCGAAUCUUUGAACGCACCUUGCGCCCCUUGGUAUUCCGAGGGGCAUGCCUGUUUGAGUGUCAUUAAAUUCUCAAACUCACUCUGGUUUUUCCAAUUGUGAUGUUUGGAUUGUUGGGGGCUGCUGGCCUUGACAGGUCGGCUCCUCUUAAAUGCAUUAGCAGGACUUCUCAUUGCCUCUGCGCAUGAUGUGAUAACUAUCACUCAUCAAUAGCACGCAUGAAUAGAGUCUGGCUCUCUAACCGUCCGCAAGGACAAUUUGACAAUUUGACCUCAAAUCAGGUAGGACUACCCGCUGAACUUAA
rnacentral:sRNA from 1 species